ACUCCCUCAGGCCAGUGCUGCCCGCCGCCCCCGUCCCUGCCGCUGCCGCCAUCGCCAUGGCAACACCCCGCGUGUAUGAGCCACCGCCGAUUCCGCCGUCGCACAAGGAGCCCCUCCUCCGCCGCUCCGAACUCACCCUACACACCCCUGAAACACCCUUCCGAUAGUGUGCUCCACGUCCUCUCUGCCUCUCCUUUCCUUGUGCUGCGUGUGUGUGUGUGUGUGUCAGAAAGAAGCCACAGGUGUAUGUUUAUGACGUGUGCGUGCUUGGGUUUAAGACGGUGGCUGUGUCGAUUUUAACUACAGACUGGAUUCUCUAACCUUGGUUCUGAUCUCAAACACACCCAGUGUAGUCAGGGCUGAAAAGGGAAACUGCAUGCUCUCAUUCCUGCACACUUAACCAAUGUAACACAUUGUCUGUUUAAAGAAACCUUCAAUCUAUGGCCAAUUAGUUUUGAAGGGUAGAUUAGGCACUAGUCAUGAUGCUUUUUAACUUUUAUAUCCUUAAGUGUUUGUAGUCUAUGAAUGAAUACUGGACUUGAUAUUUUUAAAUAUUGCUUGAUUAUAGUUAUAUGAACUUUACCAGUUUACGCAUUUAUAUAGUUAUUAAUAAGUUAGAUUUCAAUGCAUUUCAAAAAUGUUUAAAUAAGUUGAAUGUAUGUAUGUAUGUUUACUCCAAAGGUGUGUGAAGUGUAGGACCAGGGUUGGACAGUAUUUUACAUGUCUUUGUGUGUGUUUCUUGUUUUUCUCUGGGACUGUGGUGUAGCGUGUAUGCUUUCCAUUGGUUGUCAUGACAGGAACGCACACGUGCACAGGGAAGCAACCUCGAUCCACACGCACAUACAUACGCAUCCCUUACACCUCAGAUGGGAGAAACUUUAGUGAUGACCUUUAACCCUACCCUUCCAUCCCUGUCCACCCAUCCUGAAAGCUGAAAGACACUGUGACUUCUCUCCCCUCCAACUUUAAUGUAGCUACUUCCAUAGAUAUGGUGAUGUAUGGGAAGCAACCAAUCAGAGCAAGGUGUAGCUAGUCAGCUUUUGCUGUGAUCUGUCUUAUGGGAGCAUCUCUAAGCUCGCCAACUUAACUGCCAUGAUGCAUUGUAGAAUCUGUUUUUGUAAAGUGUCUUUUAUUAAUGCUAUCAUGUUUUUAUAAAGAGUGAUAAGGGACUCAAGUAUCCAUUUAAAGAGACAUACUCCUUUCGAUUGUUAACUUUUGUUUACAGCUGCAAGAGAGAGAACAUGUUCUUUCUUGUGGCUUUUUCACAGUGAUUGUUUAUAGCCAAAAUUCUCUUUUUUUAAUUUUUUUCUAGAAAAACAGCCAAAAUCAUUAGUGGCCUACUAUUUUUAUGCCUUAGUAGUAAAAUGUAUUAAAUUUUUGCAAUUUUUUUAAAUCUGUAGUCUUAUAAAGUGAAACUGGAUUAAGGCUACAUGAAAGUGCUGUAUAUUCUGUGGUGCUGUGAUUUGGUAUUAAAUGAAUUGGGAGAUUCCUAUCAGUUUCUUUCAGUCUUCCUGCUCAUUUCGCUGCUGCAACUCCAUAGAUGACCCUCACUGCAUCUCUCUUCAUCUCUCUUUGCAUCUGCCUCUCAUUUAGUGACAGUAUUUCAUUUGUUUACCAUGCCCCUGUUCGCACCUAUGUGCUGAGGAUGCCAGUGUGUGAAUGUGAAUGUGAUCUUAGAAAACGUUUUGCAUCGACAUUCAUGUUUGUAUUUUCUAUCAUGGUAACUGUUCUUGCCGCAAGUGUUCUCAGGAGAGAAGACUUUAAAGAUCUGUACACGAUCUUUACGACUAUAACAAGCCUUCAAAUAAAGAGCCUGCCUGAUCAUUUAAAGAGGGAACUCAAGAGCUUUUGCUUGGAGCUUUAGCUGUUUUUGCUUUUUGAUGUUUCAUAAUUGUUUUUUCCUUUGUGAAACGACCAGACUCGUAUGAAUCGGAGCCCUGAAAAGAAGCUAAAGGACAUGAGACUGAUCCCAAUCUCACCCCUGUCUUUAUGGAUGGGGUCCCUAUGGAACUGUGGACGCCAAACGCAGAGCUGGUUUGGGGGGAAGAAAGUUAGCGUCGCGCAAUGCACGGAAAACUCUCUCUCACUCCAUACAGGUAAACGCACUGUGCCUCGCCCCUUUCUACCUGUCGUCCUUCCCAAUAGCGUUUGCGCCUGACCGUGUAUCCGCUCUAUUUCUCCUCACCACCACCCCACCCCUCUUGUAGAUUCCUCACUUCUAGUCACCACUGCCAUAGCCAAUUGGUUCUCGAAACACCAGUGUUAUGCUACUCUGUCACUGCCAAAAAGGGGGGUGGCGGGGGUGACCGUUUACUGCUUCUGUGGUUAGUGUGUCUCGGUAAUGGGUGGGUGCUUGGUGCUCUAAUAACUGAUCUGUUGGUUUAGCUUUGGAGAGAGUGUGGUUAUAAUGUGUCCAUAAGCAAUUGAAUGUGUGGAAUUGCUGGUCAAUGAUUGAAAGACUGCGUAAAAUGAGCGUUAAAACAAGUUAGCAAGGGUGGCUGAUAAAGGUGUGUGACAAAGGUGAGUGAUUGUGAGUCAGUAUCGUCGACCUCAUCUGGCCCCCCCUUCCAUGUGCCUUUUUUGUUUGUUUAUAUGAUUUAACGCUUGCCCCCAGGCUUCCUCGAGUCUACUCGCCGUUAACGCCCAGCUCACCGCCGCCCUCGUCGAAUCCCCAGUGCUAGUUGUUACGUUUGUUCAGUGUUAACCACUGCUUGAACGCAUCCCUGAAAGCUCUGUGACUGGACCUGAGACACUGGCCAAAAUGUUAUUCGCAAGACUCUCAUUUGGACUCAGUGACACUGACAACCCUUAUCAAGCAUUGCUUGACUGUCUUACACUGCUGAGCCGCAACCCAGCAAAGCAUUCUUAUUAUAAACUUCUGCUUUUGUUUCCAAGAUUGACAACAAUUCUUGAGUGGAAGCUUAGGCAUAGUCAUCCCAAAUAGUUACCAAAUUUAUUUAGUUUUUGUUUGUCCGAUUAAAAGACAUUCUACUUUAAGUUAAUCUGAAAGCUACCUUGUGUUACCUGUUUAAAUGAGAGUCUGUUACGAUAUUUGUGUUUGCAAUAGCUGAGUGUACGAUAAGUAGGUGGCACCGAUUUAGAUCGCCUACCUGGUUAAAUUAAAUACCCGGUAGAAGAAUGUCCUAGAAAAAAAGCAGCUUCAGCUGGGAAAAAAUAAGACUGCUGAACCUGAGCUGCCUGAGGGAUACUUACAGGACCUUUCCUCCAGAGGGAGCAUGGUAGUGAAGUGUGAUUUAUUUCACUAGAAGGUGCUGUUGUUCCUGAUUUUACUUGCUUUUUCUGAUGAUGAUGUAGCAUCUUCACAUACAUUGUCACACAUCUGAAUUUCUUCUUGUCUAUAGUGUUUGUUUAACUUUGCCUGUAGAAUUGAGGGGAAAAGAAUGAGAUGACCUCAGUUUUAGAUCUUAUUCUGGAGGAAAGGGAACUGUCCAGUAGCUGGUACUCCCAAUGUUAGUGGUAUUAAGAUCUUUGGCUUGCAGAUAUUUGUGGUUGACAGAUUUCCGUGAUGUCCGUAGCAUCCGUUGAUGAUGAAAGAUGUCUGCGGCAGAUAGAUAUCAGAGGUGUUUGAGAAGAACCUUCCAUACAGAAUCUUGGUUCUUAAACAUGGUUCUUGGUUCGUAAACAAAUCACUUACCUUCUUCUCCAACUUGCUCUUCCAGCUGAAGUCUCUUUGAAUCUAGAUGGUACGCUCCAAAAUUUUCAAUGGAUAACAGAAUUAUUUUUCUGAUUACUUCCUCCCUAGAUAUCGUCAAACUUUCUGUUUAAAUUGGACAAUAACAAUAACACUACCAUUAGUGUUUGUGUCCCAAUAUAUUUAGAAAAUUCUAGUAUUUUCUUUUGUUUUUCUUUUUUAUUUAUCUUUUUUAAUUUUUUUUUUACUCUGAUUCUUUAAAUGGAUAUCCCCUACUGAGUGAAAAGGUUACUCCAGUACUUUUGAAAAAUAAAGUGCAUAAUUUUUAUAAUUCAUGUAUGAAACGUGAAUAAUUUCUAUUGCAGGUGAUAGGAUUUGAGCUGGUUGUAAUGUUUUUAUCACCUUCUAAUGAAUAUAUGCAUGCUUUGUUAAUGUGUGUAUAUUGCAAAAACCUUGC